rnacentral:rRNA from 1 species
ACGGUGAGGGAUGAAAGCUGGGGGAGCAAACCGGAUUAGAUACCCGGGUAGUCCCAGCUGUAAACCAUGCAAACUCAGUGAUGCAUUGGCUUGUGGCCAAUGCAGUGCUGCAGGGAAGCCGUUAAGUUUGCCGCCUGGGAAGUACGUACGCAAGUAUGAAACUUAAAGGAAUUGGCGGGGGAGCACCACAAGGGGUGAAGCCUGCGGUUCAAUUGGAGUCAACGCCA